rnacentral:rRNA from 1 species
UGAUCCUUCUGGAGAGGUACAUUUGCUGAAACCUUAGCGAGCUCUCCGGAGCUGACCAGGCGACUCAAAAUAAGAUUGGUCUUUCGGUUAUCCUUAUUCUCCCUGUAUAACCGGAAUGCUGGUCAAUCUCAUCUAGAUUGGCAACACCUUGAGUCUGCGGGAACAUUCUCUCCGUGGAAUAACCUGCAGUCACCUCCCGACUCAACGAAUCUUGAUAUUCGGCGAAGGACGGGGGUUGACUCACAGACUAGAUAAUGGUGGGUGUGAUCCCAUUUAGAGGACCGCACUUUAGAUAUAGCCGCGUCCCGUGUUGCUUUCAUCACGGGCUUGACGGACGUAUACGCCGUCCGUUACUAGGGAAAACGUUCCGUAGGUGAACCUGCGGAAGGAUCAUUA